CUGAAGAUACAUAGGAUCCAUGAAUGAUGCUGGCACAGCAUUUCCUCCCAUUUGAUUUCCCAUUCUGCUGAGAGUCUGCUCUGAGGUUGCAGCGCUUAAAUUAGAUCCCCCCAACAUUCGAGAGUCCAAACCAGGUACAGCCAUCGCUGAUGCAGCAGCAGCAUUUCCAAAUAAAGGUGGCAAAUUAUAGUUGCCAAGAUGGCUUGACAUUGGACUGACAGCAUGACCACUUAAUCCAUAAUUAGAAAAGGAUGAAUUUGGACUAUCCAAAUGGGGAUACUGAGACAGUACGCCACCUCCACCAUUCAAUCCCGACGUUGGGGAUCCUUUGAGGUAUGAACUACUGGAGCCAGUAACAGCAACAGAAUAUGGUACUUUCGCAGACUGAGCAUUAGAAGCCACAUUAAACUGGGGGGAUUCGGAUUGCUUCAAGAAAUCAUGCUGCUUCGUACUAUUCUGCCCACCAUUAGAUAUAUUUAUGCCAGAUAAAGCAGCAACAAGCUCUGAAGACUCGGUUCUGUGAGACGACACACCAUUAAACGGAUUUGGACUACUAACACUUCUCUUCUCUGAAUUGACUACCCUGCCCCCACCAAUAGGUGUGAGGGAAGGGCUAGGAGCUCUUGCAAUGUGUUGGGGAUCAGGAGUGGUACUUCUUGAUAAGGAAGCCCCCAAAGCAGCAGCAUAUGAAUAGGAAGUAGGAACCUCAUCAUGUUGAGCAGCAGAUGGGAUUUGUGUGCUUGAUGCAGACCUUAUUGGCUUUGAAGAAGAAACCUCGUGACGAAGAUGAGAAAGCUCACCUUCUACUGAACCUAUUGUAUCAGCACUUCCGUCAAAAGCAUUUCGGCUAGCCGGACGUGAAGGAUGACCAGGAGCAGGAGAUACACGGCUAAAGUCAUCCUGGAACAUUUCAGCAAUGCUCUUCUUUUUACUACCUAG
rnacentral:misc_RNA from 1 species